rnacentral:sRNA from 1 species
AUACACAACAUCAAGAGCAGGAAAAUGGACUCAUUAGGGAGGCAGGCAGUCAUUACCACUCACACUGUACUUCCAGGGAGACACCGAUUAUAAGAAGAGAAACUCAGCGCUGGGGAAGAAGACAAAUAAAAAGAAGUGUUAAGAAUUGCCUUUGGGACUCUGAAGGCUGAAGGUUUAGAGCUCUUCUAUGGAGUCAUUGUACCCACAGGCCCAGAAUUGAUAAAUUGCAAGUUUGUGCCCCAUAGCUGCACAGACUGCCUGAAGUUACAUUUAGAGACUGAAAUCACUGCACCUUAAAAACAAAAGAUUGAGCUGCACUGUAUUCCUAAUGUUUCAUCAUUACUAACAGGAUAUUCCUCAUGACAUUGCUGUCUGAUCUUUGACCAUCAGUCUGUGACCUGCCCCUUCUCUUUACAUGCAGCCGCUCUCUGCUCCCUGCCCCAAUGAACAUCUGCACUAGGCCCAAGCCUUGGAGUAAUUUACCUGAAGAGUGACACCAUUGAUUUUGAAACUACUAUGAGGAAACUGAAGCCCAGAGAGGUGAAGUGAGGUGCCCAAGGCCACACAGCAAGUUA